AUUGAACGCUGGCGGCAUGCCUUACACAUGCAAGUCGAACGGCAGCGGGGGAGAAGCUUGCUUUUCCUGCCGGCGAGUGGCGAACGGGUGAGUAAUACAUCGGAACGUGCCCUGUAGUGGGGGAUAACUAGUCGAAAAAUUAGCUAAUACCGCAUACGACCUGAGGGUGAAAGUGGGGGACCGCAAGGCCUCAUGCUAUAGGAGCGGCCGAUGUCUGAUUAGCUAGUUGGUGGGGUAAAGGCCUACCAAGGCGACGAUCAGUAGCUGGUCUGAGAGGACGAUCAGCCAGACUGGGACUGGGACACGGCCCAGACUACUACGGGAGGAAGCAGGGGGGAAUUUUGGACAAUGGGCGAAAGCUUGCUCCAGCAAUGCGGCGUGUGUGAAGAAGGCCUUCGGGUUGUAAAGCACUUUUGUCCGGAAAGAAAUGGCUCGGGUUAAUACCUGGGGUCGAUGACGGUACCGGAAGAAUAAGGACCGGCUAACUACGUGCCAGCCGCCGCAGUAAAAC
rnacentral:rRNA from 1 species